UGUGACCUCAAAUCAGGUAGGACUACCCGCUGAACUUAAGCAUAUCAAUAAGCGGAGGAAAAGAAACUAACAAGGAUUCCCCUAGUAACUGCGAGUGAAGCGGGAAAAGCUCAAAUUUAAAAUCUGGCGGUCUUUUGGUCGUCCGAGUUGUAA
rnacentral:rRNA from 1 species